rnacentral:misc_RNA from 1 species
UGUGCAGAUUAUAAGAGACAAGCAAGAGCUUGCUGAGACUCAGAAAGACCUAGCCAAACUUCAUCUUUUGCAGAAGGAGUCAUCUUCAUCCAGCCAUUCACAUUCAAAUGAUGAGAGAGCUUCACCAGUUGCCUCUGAUCCUAAGAAAAACGAAAACCCGUCUGAGAAUCACAAUAAUCAGCAAUUAGCUCUCGCCCUGCCGCACCAGAUUGUUCCACAGCAAAA